rnacentral:rRNA from 1 species
UACGUAGGGGGCGAGCGUUGUCCGGAGUUACUGGGCGUAAAGGGCAUGCAGGCGGUCCGACACGUUUUGUGUGACAGCGGGUGGCUUAACUACCCGAGGAUACGAAAGACGGUUGGACUUGAGGACUCGAGAGGGGCACGGAAUUCCGGGUGGAGUGGUGAAUGCGUAGAGAUCCGGAGGAACACCGAAGGCGAAGGCAGUGUCCUGGCGAGUGACUGACGCUGAGGUGCGAAAGCCAGGGGAGCGAACGGG